CCACCAGGUUGUACAAGCUACCACAAUGCCAACCUGACUUCCCUGGAAAGACAAUCUCAUCAGUUGUCCUGGAACUGCACCUCCCUAGAACCUUGCUCCACUAAAGAAAGACAUAAACAGAGAGACUUCUGGAGGUGGGGCUAGAGUAGCAGCAGCUGUUUCUCUCUCCUCUAUCCAGUCACUAAGAAUAAGAAAGAAGAUCACCUGAGAACACAGCAAGACAAGACUCAAAAUACUUUGGGAACCCACCAAGUCAUGGAGAAUCAUCUGAAACUAAUUUAAGUGCCAGUUUGCUACAUGAGAGAAGAGAAUACAGUGCUCCGCAUGUCCCCCAUGGUACUUAUCAGCAGCCCCCACCUCUGGAUGAUGAA